AAAGCCAAGCGAUGGAUCUUCCCUGCUUUUGACAACACUCUCCCCUUCAGGACUAAGCCUGCACUGGAGGAAAAUAACUGCGAGGAGAACCACUAAUCACACCUCCGUGUGGGAACUACCUCCGGUAGCAGCGUGUGCCGCCAGCCCUGCCUCCAACCUGCAGCGGUUGCUGCGGGACGGGCUCGCUCGCCCCUGCAGUUCACCUUUGCCUGCACUUCACACGCGUGCAAUUCGGGUUUAAUGGAGCUGGGUUUAUUGUUCCUUUUUGGACUUACAAUUACGUCGACUGCAGGGUCCGUGCUGCCCCGGCCCCGCUCGCUGCCGGUGCCGGUGGGCGCGGAGCCGCGCUCGGCGGCGCUGGGGCAGAAGGAGCGGGAGCAGAGCGAAUCGGCGGCGCUGCCGGCCGGCGGCAGGGCCCGGGUGGACGGCGGGGGGCUGCGGCCCCGAGCCCGGCGCUGCACUUGCUACACGUACAAGGACAAGGAGUGCGUCUACUACUGCCACCUCGACAUCAUCUGGAUCAACACCCCCGAGAGGACUGUACCAUAUGGGCUGUCUAACUACAGAGGCAAUUUUAGAGGCAAAAGAUCCACAGGGGAGAUUCAAAAUACUUUCCAGUCUUCACUUAGGUGUUCUUGUUUGAAUGCUCAUGAUGAACAGUGUAUGCAGUUUUGCAGAAGAAUGCAAGACAGAAGAAGAAAUCAUGGAUCAAUGAAAGAGACAGAGGAGAAAGACCAGGGCGGGGAAGAAGAACACACUUUGAUUCAGUAGCACAGAGAGUUCGGAGGAUUCUGAACAGUCAGGCACCAUCAUAUCCUCUGACAGCUUCAAUACAGUAUUGUACACACAACACAAGGUCUUUUAAAGCCUUCCUUCAAAAUGCUCUUCAAUUCCUUCCUCAUUGCGGUGAAACAACUGUAAAACCUUGCCAGCUACAAACGUCACACACUCCACACACUCUACAUGCUAAAAGCUGUGAACAAACCAACUCUCAAGCAGUAGCUAUAUUAAAGGCUUACAAAUUACUUUACAAAGCGAAGUCCAAGCAAACGUGAACUAACCUGGCUGAUUCAUGCUGGGUAUCUGGACUUUUUCGUUCUAUGGAAAGAAGCUGUAAGCUCAGGUAGCACCAUUAGUUCACUCAAACCCAUAGGAAUAAUAGAUUAUUUUACAUUAGAUUAUCUAAGUAUUUCUAAAUUAAUCAACUUGUGAAUUAAAAAAGAUAAAUGUUGAAGAAUGCAUCUUUUCGCUUGCAACAGAUGUGAGAAAGAAUCUCAGAAUUCACAGCACCAGGAUGGACAUAAACAAACCAUUCUCAAAACUAAAAAGAGAAGAAUGAGAGGAUCAUGUAUUUUUAAUGCAUGAUAAACCAAGUGUUUCCUUACAUCAGUCAACGAAAUAUUUCUCUGACACAAAAAUAACGAUCCAGUUUCCAAAUAAUUUCAGAUGUUAGGCUGCUCUGAACUGAUAAUACCGACAGAGGUAAAAUUUACUUCAGUCUAAUACGUGGCUCUGCCUCUCAGCACCAACGCGUUAAGUAAGGAAACACCAUUCUGCAACAAGCCUUUUGCUGACCACAGCUGCACUAAUCACGUGCUGUAAAUGGAACUGCUGCCCUGCUGAUGGAAACUUUGGACUUCUGGGCUGCUACUUACCUCCUAGGAAUAUGUUUUCUUCCACAAAGUAGCUUAAACUGCCAAGUUUUAAGCUACAGCCUUUCUACCUUCUCUCAUACAAUAAGCUGAAAGAUACCAAUAGCUUCUAUGACAAAGUCCUCCCAGAAAGGACAGAAGAGCUUCAAAAGGGCAAUGCAUGAACAUAGCAAGGUCUCUGACAGCUGAUUUCAGAAGGCAGUAUGAAAAGAAAAAAGAAAAACCACCUCAAGGCACAGGUACUUCAAAAGAAACAAAUAACGCAAUUUUCUUUUCUGGAGGAAUUUGGGAGAGGGGCCAUGUGAGAUCUACAAAAGUACAGUGUUGAUCAGAUAAGGAAACAUCAAAUACUAGGACCAGGAAGAAAGAAGCAGAUUCAUUCAUACAGCACUUUCCCUUUAAAUUACCAUUUCUAAGAGUUUAUAUAUUUACGUAGAUCCACUCCAUUCAUGGUUUGCUGAAUCAUAAGGAUUUGAGGUAAAAGUUUUUCUAAGAGCCAAGCUAAAAUAGAACUAGAUUCACCAAAAGUUAUCUAUACAGCAUUCAUCAAAGUAUCAUCAUUCAGUCUUAAGGUAAAAGUAGCCCAUACAUUAAUUACUAUAGUGGACUUUUCCUGGCUAAGUUGCAGAACCCUGUGAAACUCAAGCAAGAAUUAAAUGUUGUUGUAAGAAGUCCUCAGCAAAAGUAGUAAUUGUGUAAAACGAAAUGCCAGAGGUGCUAACACCUUGGCUUAAUAUAUGUGCAAAACACAAGAAGAUUCUUUAGAAAUGUCGUGAAAAAAGCCUUUUGUAUUUAAUUUACACUGUAGGUCCCCAAUGUGCUCCCACGCCCUACCUUGGAAAAGAUACAAUCACAUAGUGCUCUCUAGUGGCUGUCCGACCAAAAAACUCUGCAGGCUGCGCUCCAGUUGGAAUAAUCACAAUGUUCAGCUGCCCCUGUAGUC